AUUGAGCCAUAAUGUUCUCUUUUCUCUUUUCCCUCUCCAGCCCCAACGGUUCUCUGCCCCCUGCCCAGCCCCCUCCUCCUCAGCCCCACCGGCGACCACGACCUCCUCCGGCUACACCUCACGCCGGCGAUCCCUGGUAAGCUCCCCCCUCCCUCCUUUCUCUCUCUCUUUCUUCUCUUUCCCUGAUCGGAGCUAACACUUUUAUGCGACGUACUUUUCUCUUGGCAUUAAUUUGGGAUUAUCUUUUUGGAAUUCUUACUGCAUUUUUUGUUAGUUUCUGCUUGUUUCCUUUACAUUUUCAGCAGGAAUUAGCUUUCUUUGUACUUAACACUAUAAAAGUUCUGAACUUUCAACUGGGUUUUUCAUGUAUAUUGAAUAAGAUCUGUAUGUUUGGAGUUUUUUCUUUGUUAUAUU
rnacentral:lncRNA from 1 species